rnacentral:rRNA from 1 species
AGAGUUUGAUCCUGGCUCAGGACGAACGCUGGCGGCGUGCCUAAAACAUGCAAGUCGAACGGGGGAGCAAUCCCCAGUGGCGAACGGCGGAGUAAUACAUGAACAACGUGCCCUGAAGACCGGGAUAGUCAGUGGAAACGCUGGGUAAUACCGGAUGUGGCCGUCUUGUGGCAUCACGAGACGAUUAAAUGGUUUUUCGCUUCAGGAGCGGUUCAUGGCCUAUCAGGUAGUUGGUGAGGUAACGGCUCACCAAGCCUACGACGGGUAGCGGGUCUGAGAGGACGAUCCGCUCGAGUGGGACUGAGACACGGCCCACACACCUACGGGUGGCAGCAGUUGGGAAUCUUGCACAAUGGGGGAAACCCUGAUGCAGCGACGCCGCGUGGAGGACGAAGGAUCUAGGUCUGUAAACUCCUUUUUCACGGAAAGACUUAGGACGGUACCGUGAGAAUAAGCACCGGCUAACUACGUGCCAGCAGCCGCGGUAAGACGUAGGGUGCAAGCGUUGUCCGGAUUUACUGGGCGUAAAGAGCGCGUAGGCGGCUCGUUAAGUAUGAAGUGAAAUCUCCAGGGCUCAACCCGGAAACUGCUUCGUAGACUGGCGAGCUUGAGGAAUGCAGAGGUAAGUGGAAUUCCUGGUGUAGCGGUGAAAUGCGUAGAUAUCAGGAGGAACACCGACGGCGAAGGCAGCUUACUGGGCAUUAUCUGACGCUGAGGCGCGAAAGCGUGGGUAGCAAACAGGAUUAGAUACCCUGGUAGUCCACGCCCUAAACGAUGGAUACUAGACGUAAGAGGUAUCG